CAAUAGCGUAUAUUAAAGUUGUUGCGGUUAAAAAGCUCGUAGUUGGAUUCCUGUAUGGAAGGGGCGUCCCCACCCUUUGGAUGGGGGUUGCUGCCUUCUUUGCAUCUUCCGGAGUAGAUGUUCCUCACUUCACUGUGAGGACAUUAUGCUCGGGUCAUUUACUUUGAGGAAAAGAGAGUGCUCCAAGCAGGCAAACGCCUGAAUACGUUAGCAUGGAAUAAUAGCAUCGGAUCAUCGUUCAGCUGUUGGUGUCUGGACGAGGAUAAAGGUGAACAGGGAUUGUUGGGGGCAUUCGUAUUUAACUGUCAGAGGUGAAAUUCUUGGAUUUGUUGAAGACGAGCUACUGCGAAAGCAUUUGCCAAAGAUGUUCUCAUUGAUCAAGAACGAAAGUUAGGUGAUCGAAGACGAUCAGAUACCAU
rnacentral:rRNA from 1 species